UGCGGUAUCCGUGAACCGCCCUGAC
rnacentral:miRNA from 1 species